GCCAUGGAGCUCGUCUCAUACAUUGCCAUGUGCCUCUCGUUCGCCUUUCUCCUCCCUUCCCACGUCACAGCGACGGCGCCAACCGGCAUGGUAGAGCGGGAGACCAAGCAGCAGAUUCUGGCGAGCAUCCCGCCGCACUGGGAGGAGAACCCCGUGUUGUUCCUGACAUCGCCGUCCGGCAAGUACGCGGCCUACUUCAUGCGCAGCCAGACCGCACCGGGCGCGGGCGGCCUCGGGGCCGACUUCUGCUACGAUGAGGUCCUCGACACCACGGCGCCGGGCGCGGAGGGCCGGAGCGUGUGGGAGUCGGAGUGCUUGGCGGUGAGCACCGUGAACACGUGCGCGCUCGUGUUCUCGUGGAAAGGGCUGGAGGUGUUCGACGGGAGCAACUCAGUGUGGCACACACACGACACAGAGUCGGACGACAACAACUUCCUCAAGACCCUGCAGCUGGUGGACGAGGGUGACAUGCGCAUCCUCGACAAGGGCGGCGAGCUUGCGUGGAAGGCCAGCGACGAGCCGCGCGCCGCGCAACACUGCGGCAUGCCCGGUUCUCCUGGGUUGGCACCGGCAAUGCCGCCCUUCGCCGGUCCGAUCGGAAAGGGGAGCAGCAGGUUGCCAUUCGGGCAAGAUGAAGGAGGCAUCGACGGCAACAGCUACGGUUCCGUCGGAGGAGUUGCACAACCCGAG
rnacentral:rRNA from 1 species